GAGAGGCACACUUGAGUUGUCUCAGUUAAUUAGACUUUAUUUUAAAACUAUUUUGCUUCUUUCUGCCUCAGGUCUAAUGUUUAUGCAAGGCUUACGGCCAUAUAGCUCUUCAUCUCUUUGCUUCUGUUCUCUCUACUAACUUAUUUUCCUGCUAAAUGUUUCAUAUUUAAAUGGAAAAGAAAGGGUGUGCGUGGUUUUUCCAAUCACCAUUAAGUGUGGCUGUCUCAGCUGUGCCUAGCCUGGCAGAGAAAACGUUUAUAAACUUGUGUCUCGCCUACUGCAUGAUGGUAGGUUGCUACGCCUACUCCAAGGAAAGGACAACUUUAUUCAAGACCAUUACAGUAGGAAUGAAGACUGUUACAGGAAGAGAGAAAAUGAACCAAAUUUCACUGAUACAAAAAGUGAUAAAGCUGCGAUGAACUGGGGAGGCUGACUCCACCAGUGGGAGCACCAAAUGUUAUCCAAACCCUCCAUGGAUGAGGCUACGUCAGUCCGAUUCUCCAGUUUAACAACAGAGACCAUAGGCUACCUGUAACAGCCUACUGCUGCUGCUGCUAAGUCCCUUCAGUUGUGUCCAACUCUGUGCGACCCCAUAGACGGCAGCCCACGAGGCUUCCCCAUCCCUGGGAUUCUCCAGGCAAGAACACUGGAGUGGGUUG